rnacentral:rRNA from 1 species
GAAUCCCGUCUUUGGCACGGAUGCCUGGUGCUUCUGUGAUGCGCUCUCGAAGAGUCGAGUUGUUUGGGAAUGCAGCUCAAAAUGGGUGGUGAACUCCAUCUAAAGCUAAAUACUGGCGAGAGACCGAUAGCGAACAAGUACCGUGAGGGAAAGAUGAAAAGCACUUUGGAAAGAGAGUGAAACAGUACGUGAAAUUGUUGAAAGGGAAACGCUUGAAGUCAGUCACGUCGACCGAGACUCAGCCUUGCCUUGGCUUGGUGUACUUCUCGGCCCGACGGGUCAGCAUCAAUUUUGCCCUUCGGAUAAUGGCGGGGGAAAGGUGGCACCUUUACGGGUGUGUUAUAGUCUCUUGUCGCAUGCGAGGGGUGGGAUUGAGGAACUCAGCGCGCACCUCAGUGUCGGGGCUUCGGCCCACGUCACGCGCUUAGGAUGUUGGCGUAAUGGCUUUAAACGACCCGUCUUGAAACACGGACCAAGGAGUCUAACAUGCCCGCGAGUGUUCGGGUGGAAAACCCGUGCGCGCAAUGAAAGUGAAAGUUGGGACCUCUGUCGCGGAGGGCACCGACGCCCGGACCAGAGCUUCUGCGACGGAUCUGCGGUGGAGCGUGUAUGUUAGGACCCGAAAGAUGGUGAACUAUGCCUGAAUAGGGUGAAGCCAGAGGAAACUCUGGUGGAGGCUCGUAGCGAUUCUGACGUGCAAAUCGAUCGUCAAAUUUGGGUAUAGGGGCGAAAGACUAAUCGAACCAUCUAGUAGCUGGUUCCUGCC